rnacentral:rRNA from 1 species
UUGAACGCUGGCGGCAUGCCUUACACAUGCAAGUCGAACGGCAGCACGGGAGCAAUCCUGGUGGCGAGUGGCGAACGGGUGAGUAAUAUAUCGGAACGUGCCCGGUCGUGGGGGAUAACGUAGCGAAAGCUACGCUAAUACCGCAUACGAUCUACGGAUGAAAGCGGGGGAUCGCAAGACCUCGCGCGAUUGGAGCGGCCGAUAUCAGAUUAGGUAGUUGGUGAGGUAAAGGCUCACCAAGCCGACGAUCUGUAGCUGGUCUGAGAGGACGACCAGCCACACUGGGACUGAGACACGGCCCAGACUCCUACGGGAGGCAGCAGUGGGGAAUUUUGGACAAUGGGCGCAAGCCUGAUCCAGCAAUGCCGCGUGCAGGAUGAAGGCCCUCGGGUUGUAAACUGCUUUUGUACGGAACGAAAAGGUUUCUAUUAAUACUAGGAGCUCAUGACGGUACCGUAAGAAUAAGCACCGGCUAACUACGUG